rnacentral:rRNA from 1 species
UGGGGAAUAUUGGACAAUGGGCGCAAGCCUGAUCCAGCCAUGCCGCGUGAGUGAUGAAGGCCCUAGGGUUGUAAAGCUCUUUCACCGGUGAAGAUAAUGACGGUAACCGGAGAAGAAGCCCCGGCUAACUUCGUGCCAGCAGCCGCGGUAAUACGAAGGGGGCUAGCGUUGUUCGGAUUUACUGGGCGUAAAGCGCACGCAGGCGGACUAUUAAGUCAGGGGUGAAAUCCCGGGGCUCAACCCCGGAACUGCCUUUGAUACUGGUAGUCUUGAGUUCGAGAGAGGUGGGUGGAAUUCCGAGUGUAGAGGUGAAAUUCGUAGAUAUUCGGAGGAACACCAGUGGCGAAGGCGGCUCACUGGCUCGAUACUGACGCUGAGGUGCGAAAGCGUGGGGAGCAAACAGG